rfam:Myotis lucifugus cont2.19062, whole genome shotgun sequence.
GGCAGUUCUCAGGUCAUGCACCCUGGAAUCGGGCUCCCUCCUCUCUGGUUCCGGGUGCGUCACCCGAGAACCACA